AAAAACUGAGGUGGUAUGAGAUGGACCCGCGUCUGAUUAGCUAGUUGGAGAGGUAACGGCUCACCAAGGCAACGAUCAGUAGCCGACCUGAGAGGGUGACCGGCCACAUUGGGACUGAGACACGGCCCAAACUCCUACGGGAGGCAGCAGUGGGGAAUAUUGCACAAUGGGGGAAACCCUGAUGCAGCAACGCCGCGUGAGUGAAGAAGUAUUUCGGUAUGUAAAGCUCUAUCAGCAGGGAAGAAGAGAGACGGUACCUGACUAAGAAGCCCCGGCUAACUACGUGCCAGCAGCCGCGGUAAUACGUAGGGGGCAAGCGUUAUCCGGAUUUACUGGGUGUAAAGGGAGCGUAGACGGCUUGAUAAGUCUGAAGUGAAAGGCCAAGGCUUAACCAUGGAACUGCUUUGGAAACUAUGAGGCUAGAGUGCUGGAGAGGUAAGCGGAAUUCCUAGUGUAGCGGUGAAAUGCGUAGAUAUUAGGAGGAACACCAGUGGCGAAGGCGGCUUACUGGACAGAAACUGACGUUGAGGCUCGAAAGCGUGGGGAGCAAACAGGAUUAGAUACCCUGGUAGUCCACGCGGUAAACGAUGAAUGCUAGGUGUUGGUGGGCAAAGCCCAUCG
rnacentral:rRNA from 1 species